UACAGAGGGUGCAAGCGUUAAUUGGAAUUACUGGGCGUAAAGGGCGCGUAGGCGGUUAUAUAAGUUAGAGGUGAAAUCCCUGGGCUCAACCUAGGAACUGCCUCUAAUACUGUAUAACUGGAGUGCGGUAGAGGGUAGUGGAAUUUCCGGUGUAGCGGUGAAAUGCGUAGAUAUCGGAAGGAACACCAGUGGCGAAGGCGGCUACCUGGACUGACACUGACGCUGAGGCGCGAGAGCGUGGGGAGCAAACAGG
rnacentral:rRNA from 1 species